ensembl:lncRNA FAM167A-AS1 FAM167A antisense RNA 1
GCAGGCGUGAGGACCACGCAUACAUAAGUUGCUGUGCUUUCUCUACGGCUUGUGUCAAGUCAUCCAGUUUUCAUUCGCAGGGCUUCAGGAAUAGAGCAGUUCUCAUUUCAGUGAUUCCAAACCAGAAGGGUGGGAGAAAAAUAUUAGUUUGGAGACCUGUAGCCAGACAUUUCUGGAAACGAGAAGAAUUCAGGAUCCAGUCCAGAUUGUAGGUUGGGAUUUCCAGUUCCUUGAUGAAGAGAAGUUACGAGACUGGGCAUCCUUGCUUUGUUCCUAAACAGGAGGUGAAAACAUUCAGUCUUCUGCCAUUAGGCUUUGGUAUCAGGAUGAUGCUGGCCUCAUAAAAUGAGUUAGGGAGGAUUCCCUCUUUUUCUACUGAUUGGAAUAGUUUCAGAAGGAAUGGUACCAGCUCCUCCUUGUACUUCUGGUAGAAUUCGGCUGUGAAUUCAUCUGGUCCUGGACUCUUUUUGGUUGGUCUGCCUUAUUAUUUUCGUCAGUGUUGUGCAGGAGAAUCCACUUAGAAGCCUGGGUAAAAUUGUAUUACAUGAUCUUGGGUUUGGUCCCUGAGAAAGAGCCAGAUUAACGCUGGCAGGAAAGAAAGCAGGAGUGCCCUUCAAACACGCUGCUGAAGGGCAACUGGAGGUUCCGGGGAAAUGUGAAGAAAGAAACGCAAACACCCCUAGGAACCAGAUUGCAUCUUGGAACUGAGGAGGUUCUGGAAGCUGUACACCCAAGGAAGACAUUCUGUGCCGGAGAGAGAGUGGGAGAGAUGUGACUGCUGCUGGCUGGGUGAGGACAGGCCCAGAGGACAGCAUCACUGGCACCCACCCCUGCAUUUGGGUCCUCUGCACCUCAGCUCCCAGCAUCUGGGCCUCCUCCCUGCCUGCCUCCCCUCCUCACUCAAUCUGUCUCCACUCAAGAGGCUGAUGGGCAGGUCUCCCUGCUUCUUCAAAUCUUUCAAAGGGAAACUUCACAAAGACAGGAGCCCUGACCCAUCCACCUUGGCCUCACCCCACCCCAGCACGGAAGCCAGGCGGCCAGUGGAGGCCGGUAGUGCUGAAUGGACAUGGGGCUGGAUGAAAAGACUUCCGCCUGCCUCUCUCAGCCCCGGAAUCGCCAUGAGCUGCUAUUCCGGAGAUUCUAUGCUACAGAAGUACAAGGUGAAGAAUGCAUACCGAUUACAUUGGCAAGGGAGAGAAGAGCCUGGUGCUAGCACUUUUGCUUCUUUGGUCUUUCAAAAAUGUCUUUCCCCUUGAUUAUACAUGAUAUAUUCCUAUUUUAGAAACUUCGAAAACUAUAAAAAAGUCAAAAGAAUAAUAUUACCACUCAGAAAUAAAGAUCAUCAAGUUUUGGUGUA